CAACUUGUGAUACUCAAACUGGGGGCUCUUUUUGUUUUUUCUUGGAAGAAAAGUGCCGCCAGGUUUUGAGUGUUACCGAUUG
rnacentral:pre_miRNA from 1 species